CCUGAAAGCUUCUUUGACUGGAGGCAAGUCCCUCCCUAUCUGGGCCCCAGUUCCCCAUUCCUGUAAUGGAGGCAUUGGACUAGAAGACCAUAGAAGAUAUAAUUAGUUCUCCUUGUUUCCAUGAGCAUGAUACAGUCACCCAGGGCACCCUGGCUGAAGCCCCCAAGACAGGAGGAUAUUGUGUCUUUGUUCACGUGACAUCUGUGUCCUUGUCCUACAGGAUGCUCUGGGUCUACCUUCAUAUCCAGUGAAGACAAAGGAAGGUGCCAGCGGCAAGUGUGUCAGGAAACAGGCAGAUGGCAGGCUGGAUGUCGCCCUCUGCAUCUUUGCUGGAGUCACCGCUGGCUGUGGAACCGGAAUUGGCAAAGGCAUCACUUCCCGAAGGAAGAGAUUAUCAGGAGAGCGUAACACAGACUCUUGGCUGGCUGGGUGGGAUCCUCUCCGGCAGCCUCCAUCUGUUUGGGAAGGAGACAAGGCAAGCCGUGGCAGCCCUGCACCUACCCGAGCCAUGUUACAGAUGCGGAAUAUCCUGUGGAUGAUGUCCUCGUCGAUGUCCGCGGAGACGAACUCCACCUGGAUGGGUCCGUAGCACCCGGAGGUCUUCUCGGGCCAGUACUGCAUACAGAGCUGGGGCAAGAAAAGAGGUGACAGAAGCAGGCUGAGGACACAGGGUAGGGGGUGGACAUCAGUGCCAUUUCUUAUCGGACUAGAGUGGUAGAAUAUCACAUAGAAACUGAACUCAGCUUUCCUAUUUGGGAGAAGAUUUUUGGUAUUGCAAUGUCAAGGCUCUGAACACAGAAACACUGGGUGAAGCAUCUUUGCUGGGCCGAUUUCAAACCAUUUGUUAGAUUUGCUAGACUUCAGUUUCCUCAUCUGUAAAGUGGAGAGAACAAUAUCUACCUUGAAAUGCUGCUGUCAGGAUUAGAAGAGAUAUGAUAUGGAUUUAUUUUCACAUGAAAGUUGUGGCAAACUUUCCCUCAUUCCAGGAAAACCUACAAUGUUCGUUCAUGAUCAGAUAAUGAUUAACUUUUUUUUUUAAAAGACAGGCUUUUGCCUAGGAAAGUCUUAGGUCCAAAUCCAGGCUCUGCUGCUUAGUACUUUUGUGUCCCAGUUCUCAGUUUUCUCAUAUGUAAAUUAGGGACGAUUAUGUUUCCCUUGCACUAUAGGAAACAUCACCUGUAUUGGAUAGGUCUUGUUGAUACUUUUUCCAAUUUUCUGGGAUUGGGAAUCAGAACUCAUAGCCAAGAGCAGUAGGGAAUUGUCACCCUUCAGUCUAAGAGGGUAGUUCUCAGUCAGAGGCAGUUUUGUCCCUCCAGGUGACAUCUUCCAAUGUCUGAAGACACUUUUUAUUGUUCUACUUGGGAAUUGCUAUAGGUAUCUAGUUUAUAGAGACCAGGAUGCUGCUCAAUACACCCCCCCCCAGUGCAUAGGACAGUCCCCUUGGGAAGUUAUCUGACCCUAAACACCAGUAGUGCAGAGACUGAGAAAUCUUGGUUGUUCAUGUGUAUGGGUAUCAUCUUGAAAGAGAGAUGCAUGCUUCAUCCACUGUAUCUGGUGAGCUGCUAGGUGACUUUCAUUAGGGAGACAAUAUUGAAGUGGCCCUGGGUUGGCUGCAGAGGUACUGAUCGGUUUCCAAGGGGCAUAGAGAUGCCAAGGUGCACAAUCCCCAGAGCUGGACCAUAGAGAACAGCUAAGAUUAGGGGUGCAGGCCUAUGGGGGCCACUCUAGGAUGGGCAGAGGCCAUGUGAUGGAAAGACCAUGUGGGCGUUACCCAGGAGGUUUAGCUGAAACUCACAAAGACCCACCAAGGCUUCUGAGAGCAGUUUGGGCCUGAGUUUCCCAUCAGUGGUGUUAGCCACUGGCCCCACUCCAUGCAGACAAGGAGUUAGAUUGACAGAGGUGACCCUUGGAAAGGUGGUGGUGGCCUCCUCGGGUACAGGGUUUUCACAGAAGAGAGGUGACAUUCCCCUUUGUUGAUGGAGAACAAACUCAUUCCGGGGAGUCACAUGCCAAAAUGUCUUUUAUUCUCUUCUUUCUCCAGAACUCAAAUUAGAAGGGAAGAAAAGAGAGGAGAGGAGAUGUGAGAGAGGGAAAAAUCACAUCUCCCACCUUCCUAAUGGUGGAUACCCAGAAUUCUAACUUAGGGAUAACAUCGUUCACCCUACAGCAGUGGUCAGCAUACUACUGCCCCAAACCUGUAGUAAAUAAAGGUUUAUAAAUAAAGUUUUAUUGAAACAUG